rnacentral:rRNA from 1 species
CAGGCCUAACACAUGCAAGUCGAACGCUGUAUUUAUACAGAGUGGCGCACGGGUGAGUAACACGUGGGAAUCUGCCCUUCUCUGCGGGACAACAGUUGGAAACGACUGCUAAUACCGCAUACGCCCUUCGGGGGAAAGGUCCGCCGGAGAAGGAGGAGCCCGCGUCUGAUUAGCUUGUUGGUGGGGUAAAGGCCUACCAAGGCGACGAUCAGUAGCUGGUCUGAGAGGAUGAUCAGCCACACUGGGACUGAGACACGGCCCAGACUCCUACGGGAGGCAGCAGUGGGGAAUAUUGGACAAUGGAGGAAACUCUGAUCCAGCAAUGCCGCGUGUGUGAUGAAGGCCCUAGGGUUGUAAAGCACUUUCAUUGGUGAAGAUGAUGACGGUAACCAAAGAAGAAGCCCCGGCUAACUUCGUGCCAGCAGCCGCGGUAAUACGAAGGGGGCGAGCGUUGUUCGGAAUUACUGGGCGUAAAGGGAGCGCAGGCGGUUCAAUUAGUUAGGCGUGAAAGCCCCGGGCUCAACCUGGGAACUGCGCUUAAUACUGUUGAGCUAGAAUACAGAAGAGGAUAGUGGAAUUCCCAGUGUAGAGGUGAAAUUCGUAGAUAUUGGGAAGAACACCGGUGGCGAAAGCGGCUAUCUGGUCUGUU